GUUUAACAUCAUACCCAGGACCGUCAUACCCAUUUCUAAUUUAUCCCUGGAGCAAUGACAGGGCAGCACUUAAGUCUACAGGAAGAAAUUACCUGGAACGCUACACUUAGGACAAGGUCAGAAAAGCUCUACGGAGGCGGCCAAGG